UUUUUGCUUUGAACAAACAACACUUUGAUGGACUUGGGGUCUCACCUGCGGUUUUGAAAGCAGUCACAAUACUUGCAGACAGCUGCGUUUUUGUUGGGUGUUGUUUUUUGUUGUUUUUUUCUCUGGACAGUAUUUACAAGGAUCUGACUUAUUUCCUAGGGAAAUUCUGGGCUGGCAUCAAGUAUAGCAGUAAGGGCAGAGGAGAGGCCGCAGGGAGCCCCUGUUCCUGACCUGUACAGUGUUCACUUUCAGCUGAUUGUUUCUCCUUUUGCAAUUGAACUGAAUACUUUUUUUUCAUGCAUGUUUUCCAGAAAAUAGAAGUGAGUAUUAAUGUUAUUAAAAAGAUUAUUUUUUUUUAUUAAAGGCUAUUUAUAUUAUAGAAACUAUCAUUAAUAUAUAUUCUUUAUUUACAUAAUCUGUCCCAUAGUCAUGCAUUGUUUUGCACCCCAAAUUUUUUAUCGUUGGUAACAGCAUGGUUAGCUUUUCUCUCGGUCUGUAGAUGAGGCUCAGGCACUAUUCCAUUUAUCCAAUACCCGUGUAUGACUCCUUAAGGAACAGAUUGAAUCGCACACGCUUUCCUGCCGCUGCUGGCCGUUUUUUACACGACGCCCUCAUCCAUUCCUCCGUAGUUGAGACAGCACAAUCACAUGAAACCCGUUACUAAAAUGAAUACAAAACCGACUAUCAUCCUGACUCUUAAUCCUUCUGCAGAGGUCUAGUCAUGAGUGACUCUUUACAUUAUGAGAGACUGGAAACCAUGAAUUUUUUACCUUCGUAAGCUACGUAUCCGUACUUCAAUGAUAAAAGUAGGACAUUAACCCAUUUUACUAUCAUGUCCCAAUUCCAAGUGGUGAGGUCUCACUCCAGUGUCAUUAAAUCCCAUUCAGGCACGGUGCAUUAGUGAGCAUUCUGAAAUGCAUCCAUCUAAGAUGUAGGGCUAAUGUUAGUGGUCGCUCUAGAUUUCUACUCAGUGUUUGAAUGAUUCAUGUCCUAGAAAAUAGCUUUAGCAGAUACUCAGAUGCCACACCAAAAAAAGAAGAAAAAAAGAAAAAAAAAAGAAU
rnacentral:lncRNA from 1 species